UACGUAGGGGGCAAGCGUUGUCCGGAUUCAUUGGGCGUAAAGAGCUCGUAGGCGGCUUGGUAAGUCUGCUGUGAAAGUCCAGGGCUCAACCCUGGGAUGCCGGUGGAUACUGUCGAGCUCGAGUCCGGAAGAGGCGAGUGGAAUUCCUGGUGUAGCGGUGAAAUGCGCAGAUAUCAGGAGGAACACCUAUGGCGAAGGCAGCUCGCUGGGACGUGACUGACGCUGAGACGCGAAAGCGUGGGGAGCAAACAGG
rnacentral:rRNA from 1 species